rnacentral:rRNA from 1 species
UACAGGGGGUGCAAACGUUGCUCGGAAUUAUUGGGCGUAAAGCGCGCGUAGGCGGCCACUUAAGUCGGACGUGAAAGCCCCUGGCUCAACUGGGGAAGUGCACCCGAAACUGAAUGGCUUGAAUGCAAAAGAGGGUCGCGGAAUUCCCGGUGUAGAGGUGAAAUUCGUAGAUAUCGGGAGGAACACCGGUGGCGAAGGCGGCGACCUGGGUUGACAUUGACGCUGAGGAGCGAAAGCGUGGGGAGCGAACAGG